GAUGAACGCUGGCGGCGUGCCUAAUACAUGCAAGUAGAACGCUGAAGGAAGGAGCUUGCUCUUCCCGGAUGAGUUGCGAACGGGUGAGUAACGCGUAGGUAACCUGCCUGGUAGCGGGGGAUAACUAUUGGAAACGAUAGCUAAUACCGCAUAACAGUAGAUGUUGCAUGAUAUCUACUUAAAAGGUGCAAUUGCACCACUACCAGAUGGACCUGCGUUGUAUUAGCUAGUUGGUGAGGUAACGGCUCACCAAGGCGACGAUACAUAGCCGACCUGAGAGGGUGAUCGGCCACACUGGGACUGAGACACGGCCCAGACUCCUACGGGAGGCAGCAGUAGGGAAUCUUCGGCAAUGGACGGAAGUCUGACCGAGCAACGCCGCGUGAGUGAAGAAGGUUUUCGGAUCGUAAAGCUCUGUUGUAAGAGAAGAACGAGUGUGAGAGUGGAAAGUUCACACUGUGACGGUAUCUUACCAGAAAGGGACGGCUAACUACGUG
rnacentral:rRNA from 1 species